rnacentral:lncRNA from 1 species
UAAAUUUGGAAAGAAUUUUCUUCAAACAGUUUCAAGAUCCAACUCCAGGAGACGACCGUGGAAAGAAAGGUGCGGUUCACGAUCAGGGUGGAGGUGUUUGAGGCGGCUCUGGAAGUGGCGUCGGAGGUGGUUGUGUAGAGUCAGAGGGAGAGAGAGGAGCUGAGAGAUUUUAGAAAAAAACAUGACAUGGUAUAUUACUGUUAGUCACAUCAGUUGUUUUUUAACGAUGUUAGUUUUGAAGGACCAAAA